GAGUAAUGUCUGGGAAACUGCCUGAUGGAGGGGGAUAACUACUGGAAACGGUGGCUAAUACCGCAUAACGUCGCAAGACCAAAGAGGGGGACCUUCGGGCCUCUUGCCAUCAGAUGUGCCCAGAUGGGAUUAGCUUGUUGGUGAGGUAACGGCUCACCAAGGCGACGAUCCCUAGCUGGUCUGAGAGGAUGACCAGCCACACUGGAACUGAGACACGGUCCAGACUCCUACGGGAGGCAGCAGUGGGGAAUAUUGCACAAUGGGCGCAAGCCUGAUGCAGCCAUGCCGCGUGUAUGAAGAAGGCCUUCGGGUUGUAAAGUACUUUCAGCGGGGAGGAAGGUGUUGUGGUUAAUAACCACAGCAAUUGACGUUACCCGCAGAAGAAGCACCGGCUAACUCCGUGCCAGCAGCCGCGGUAAUACGGAGGGUGCAAGCGUUAAUCGGAAUUACUGGGCGUAAAGCGCACGCAGGCGGUCUGUCAAGUCGGAUGUGAAAUCCCCGGGCUCAACCUGGGAACUGCAUUCGAAACUGGCAGGCUUGAGUCUUGUAGAGGGGGGUAGAAUUCCAGGUGUAGCGGUGAAAUGCGUAGAGAUCUGGAGGAAUACCGGUGGCGAAGGCGGCCCCCUGGACAAAGACUGACGCUCAGGUGCGAAAGCGUGGGGAGCAAACAGGAUUAGAUACCCUGGUAGUCCACGCCGUAAACGAUGUCUACUUGGAGGUUGUGCCCUUGAGGCGUGGCUUCCGGAGCUAACGCGUUAAGUAGACCGCCUGGGGAGUACGGCCGCAAGGUUAAAACUCAAAUGAAUUGACGGGGGCCCGCACAAGCGGUGGAGCAUGUGGUUUAAUUCGAUGCAACGCGAAGAACCUUACCUGGUCUUGACAUCCACAGAACUUUCCAGAGAUGGAUUGGUGCCUUCGGGAACUGUGAGACAGGUGCUGCAUGGCUGUCGUCAGCUCGUGUUGUGAAAUGUUGGGUUAAGUCCCGCAACGAGCGCAACCCUUAUCCUUUGUUGCCAGCGAUUAGGUCGGGAACUCAAAGGAGACUGCCAGUGAUAAACUGGAGGAAGGUGGGGAUGACGUCAAGUCAUCAUGGCCCUUACGACCAGGGCUACACACGUGCUACAAUGGCGCAUACAAAGAGAAGCGACCUCGCGAGAGCAAGCGGACCUCAUAAAGUGCGUCGUAGUCCGGAUUGGAGUCUGCAACUCGACUCCAUGAAGUCGGAAUCGCUAGUAAUCGUGGAUCAGAAUGCCACGGUGAAUACGUUCCCGGGCCUUGUACACACCGCCCGUCACACCAUGGGAGUGGGUUGCAAAAGAAGUAGGUAGCUUAACCUUCGGGAGGGCGCUUACCACUUUGUGAUUCAUGACUGGGGUGAAGUCGUAACAAGGUAACCGUAGGGGAACCUGCGGUUGGAUCACCUCCUUACCUUAAAGAAGC
rnacentral:rRNA from 1 species